UACGAAGGGUGCAAGCGUUAAUCGGAAUUACUGGGCGUAAAGCGUGCGCAGGCGGUUUCUUAAGUCAGAUGUGAAAGCCCCGGGCUUAACCUGGGAACUGCGUUUGAAACUGGGAGACUUGAGUGUGGCAGAGGGGGUGGAAUUCCGGCGUGUAGCAGUGAAAUGCGUAGAUAUGACGGAGGAACACCGAUGGCGAAGGCAAUCCCCUGGGCCUGCACUGACGCUCAUGCACGAAAGCGUGGGGAGCAAACAGG
rnacentral:rRNA from 1 species